CUGGGCCGCGACCCUCAGCCCGCGUGCCAGCCCGGUACGGCACGAUUAGGUGGCGCGAGGAGCGAGCGAGGCUGCGAGUCAGCGACCAGCGAUUUGUUUCACAGCGGGGCAGGCGGGAGACGCGCGAGAUUUGAGGCAGCGGGCGGGAGAAGCGGGAGAUGCGCGAGAUUUGAGGACGGCGGGAGACGCGGGAGGCGCGCGCAGGAGAUUUCGGCCUGUGUGCGGGCGGGAGAUGCGCGGGAGGCGAGAGCCGCGAGACGCGGGAGGCGCGCGACGACGCGGGUGGGAUUUUUUUUCUUUUAGGUUUUUCCAGGUUUUUUCGUGUCGUGCCGCGGGCCUAAACGUGCCGUGGACCGGCCCGAUUAGGCAACGUGCCGUGUUUGGGCCUGGACCCUUGGCACGCGGGCCGGCAUGGAACGACCCGUAUAUUAAUCAGGCCCAGACAGGCCGUGCCGUGCCUGGUAUGAUUACGGUGGGCCGGGCCGUGCCGGGCCGGCCCGUUUGGCCAGGUAUGAUCCCCCGGCGCCGCACCGAAGCUACCCUCCUCCCCCCGCAACCACCUCCCCAUGCGACCCUCCACAUCUGACCACCCCUCCUUCCACCACGAGGCGCCGCAACCUUCCACGGAUUGCUCCGCCCCAACCACCUUCUACCGCGCUGCCGUGCCGCUCGUGAAUCGAGCCUUGGCUCCUCCGCCAGAUUCGACGGCCCCCGGCUCCACCGCACUACUUUCGGCGUCGUCCAGACUACACAAACCCCAUUUAGCGCCACGUCCUGAUGGAUCGGCGGUUGACACCAUGCGGUUCAUGGGUGAUAGCCUGAUCCCUGCCUCGUGCACCAAAUCCAUCGACCACGGGCCACGGGCGAGGCCAUCAUCAUCGAAUCCGGUCACUGCAGGCACCGCCGCCGGUCUCCUGCCUCGCCGAGCUCCAUCCCAUCACCAUUGCCUCCUCACCACCUAGCGCGGCCUGGCAAUGGCACCCCUACACUCGUUGCGCAUGGAGCCAAGCCUCAACUACGUCAGAUCCGGCGACCCGAGGCACAAAUCCAUCGAUUCGGCCCCGGAUCCAACGACCGGCGUGCUCGCUGUGGGCGGAGGAUCACCUCCCUCCACUCGCAAUAUCCACCCCAUCGGCCUUGCACUGGCUACCUCCCCCUACCUCGUCGGGUCAAUGAACAAUCCCUCCCUCAUAGAGAUCCACCAUCGGCCUCCGGCCAUCCUCUUCUCUCCCCCAACCAACCUCCUCUGAGAUCCUUUUCAGAUUGAGAUAUUGUCCGAUGGAGGUGCCACGGGUAACCCGUUGAUGCGUUCGUAGCCCCUGAUGCUCGCCUCCACCUUGUUGUCCGCCGUGGGUGGUGGCUUCUUCGUUCUACCUCCCCUCCGGCCUCUCCCUUCUCCAACUAAGACGAUGUUGGCAGUUCAGGAUCACUCGUGUGAAGUGUGAUAGUUUGGCGCGUGUAGUAGAGCACGAUCGUAUCUGCGCUUGCUGUCGUGUGUGUUUGCAGGUCCUUGAACCUGACGGGUGUGUAGUGUGGCGAGUAUGGCGCGCAGUUCGCCGGGCAUGCUCUGCGGACGAGCGUGGCGUGUAGUGCGGGCGAGCGUGGCGUGCAUCAUCUCGCUGGGCGUGUAGUGCGGGCGAGCGUGGCGUGCAUCUCGCUGGGCGUGCAGUGUGGGCGAGCGUGGCGUGCAGCUCAUCGGGCAUCUGGGCUACGAGUACGAACCUCACUUUCAGCUCUCUUCUCCAUUCGUUGUUCAUGUGUGUUUUUGGUGCGGACAAGUGCGUUGCACCAUGGGUGGCCAAUGACAUACUUUCUUCAAGUAGUUUAUCUUGUUGUAUGUCUACUUAGUAGUUUCUCUUAUUGUAUGUUUCAAUUUGACCAUGUUAAUGUGCGCAGCUCUUUGGUGGUUUGGGUGCAGCUUGCAACAGUUGUGGACUUCAGCGAGCUAUAUCUUCCCUGGUCUGGCUUCCUCCAUCCACACUAUGGAUGCAUGCGGAAUGCGGUGAAGCAGCCCACACCAUUAGCGAUCGUGCGCGAUGGGGAGUGGGGUUGAAUCCAAUGUAGCAACCGCCUGCAGCUCGACAUCCUAGAUAGGCGCAGCACGACGCUACCUCACCCGCCCAACUCGAUCUUCUCCGAGCACCACCUCACCUCUCGUGUAGUGCAGACGGUGAGCACGUGCAGUCCAAUGGGCGCGUGAGUGCACCACGCUGAGUGUGAGUGCAAAGUUUUUGCUGUUUUUCAGAGAUGAACGGUGUUGUUUUCCAUGCACAUAUUAUAUGAUUUUAUGUGAAAAGGAGUGCAUCCAUUGUUGUGUUGCGCUCCAUUUUUCUCGACCA